rnacentral:rRNA from 1 species
CGGAGGAAAAGAAACUAAAAAGGAUUCCCUCAGUAGCGGCGAGCGAAGUGGGAAGAGCUCAAAAUGAAAACCGGCAUGGGUUUCGACCCACGCCGGGUUGUAAUCUAUAGUGGUGUCACCAGCUUCGUCCCGGGUUGAAAUCCUGGUGGAACAGGGUGUCAUAGAGGGUGAUAACCCCGUCUGUGACCCGGAUAGCGAUGCGUUACGGUGACCUUACAACGAGUCGGGCUGCUUGGGAAUGCAGUCCAAAGUGGGUGGUAAACUUCAUCUAAAGCUAAAUAUUAGCGAGAGACCGAUAGCGCACAAGUACCGCGAGGGAAAGGUGAAAAGAACUUUGAAAAGAGAGUUAAACAGGGCUUGAAACCGUUAAGAGAGAAGCGUAGGAGGUCAGUGAUCUUGUGGACAGUGUCACCAAGCGCCCACGAAAGUGAGCGUCGUAUCGAUCCUGGACACAGGGCAACGCGGGCCGGGGUGCGGCGUUAUGUGGCGGUGGGUUUGAGCAAUUUACUUUGCACCCCUGCUCUUUACGGCUCAACCCCGGCCGAGGGAAUCGCCCUUGUUGGCGUUUUAUGGGCGUUGUCAAAAUGGCCUUUUACAUCCCGUCUUGAAACACGGACCAAGGAGUCCACCAUACCCGCGAGUGUUUGGGUAUCUAAAACCCGAACGCGCAAUGAAAGUAAAAAUCGAUGGGGACUCGUGCCCUAUCAACUCAAGUGGGAGCCCCCUCGAAAGGGUGCACCAUUGCCCGACCAGGAGCCCCUCGGGGUGACAGGUUUGCGGUGGAGCGAGUAUGUUGGGACCCGAAAGAUGGUGAACUAUUCCUGAGUAGGGCGAAGCCAGAGGAAACCUUGGUGGAGGCUCGUAGCGGUGCUGACGUGCAAAUCGCUCGUCGAACUUGGGUAUAGGGGCGAAAGACUAAUCGAACCAUCUAGUAGCUGGUUCCCUCCGAAGUUUCCCUCAGGAUAGCGAGAGCGAAUUUGGUAUCCAGUUUCAUCAGGUAAAGAUAAUGAUUAAGGGUUCCGGGGAAGUAACUUCUUCGACCUUUUCCCAAACUUUAAAUAGGUGAGGCGCGGCUUUGGUUGCUUCGUAUGAUGAACCGCCGUUGGACAAUGAUUGCUCUUAGUGGGCCAUUUUUGGUAAGCAGAACUGGCGAUGCGGGAUGAACCGAAAGCGACGCUAAGGUGCCCAACUCCACGCUCAUUUUCGACCCCAUGAAAUGUGUUGAUUCAUAUAGACAGCAGGACGGUGGCCAUGGAAGUCGGAACCCGCUAAGGAGUGUGUAACAACUCACCUGCCGAAUGAAUUAGCCGUUAAAAUGGAUGGCGCUUAAGCGUGGGACCGAGGCGUCGCCGUUGGGGCAAAUGCGAAGCCUCAAUGAGUAGGAGGGCGUGGGGGUUUUUAACAUAAUGUGAGCUCUGAAGCCUUGAGCGUAAGCUUGGGUCGAGCGGCCCCUAGUGCAGAUCUUGGUGGUAGUAGCAAAUAUUCAAGUGGGAACCUUGAAGACUGAAGUGGGGAAGGGUUCCACGCGAACAGUGAUUGGACGUGGGUUAGUCGAUCCUAAGAGAUGGGGUAAUACUGUAUUUCAAGUGUGCUCUUUGUAGCACAGUCUAUCGAAAGGGAAGCGGGUUAAUAUUCCCGCACCAGGAUGUGGAAAGAACUCAACAGCGGCAACGCAAAUGAACUUGGGGACGCCCGUAGGAGCUUCGAGCAGGGAUCUCUUUCCUGCUUAACGCGCGCUGACCCCCUGGAAUCGGUUUUUCCGGAGAUAGGGGGCAACUGCCGGAAAAGCAUUGCACGUCUUGCGGUGUUCGACGCGCUCCUAAUGGCCCUUGAAAACCCAGGGGAACUCUCACUCCAAGGCAACUUGGAGCAUUUUCACACCGGGCCGUACUCAUAACCGCAUCAGGUCCCCAAGGUGAACAGCCUCUAGUCAAUAGAAUAAUGUAGAUUAGGGAAGUCGGCAAAAUGGAUCCGUAACUUUGGGAAAAGGAUUGGCUCUAGUUUUCGGGCUGGCGAGUCGGCCUGGGACCGACGCUUGCGCGCGGCCGAGGUCUAAACCACGCUGCCCCACAAUGGCUAAAGGGCUUGGAUUGACGCUGUGGGCAGGAAGAAACCGAGCCGAGUGGAGCGCGGAGCUUUUUUCGCGCUCCCACCUCGCUAGCAGGUAACGAAAGCAUUAGAACUGGAACAGACGAGGGGAAUCCGACUGUUUAAUUAAAACACAGCAUUGCGACGGUCGGAAACGAUGUUAACGCAAUGUGAAUUCUGCCCAGUGCUCUGAAUGUCAAAGUGAAGAAAUUCAACCAAGCGCGGGUAAACGGCGGGAGUAACUAUGACUCUCUUAAGGCAGCCAAAUGCCUCGUCAUUUAAUUGGUGACGCGCAUGAAUGGAUUAACGAGAUUCCCACUGUCCCUAUCUACUAUCUAGCGAAACCACAGCCAAGGGAACGGGCUUGGAAAAAUCAGCGGGGAAAGAAGACCCUGUUGAGCUUGACUCUAGUCCGACUUUGUGAAAUGAGUUGAGAGGCGUAGGCUAAGGGGGAGGGGGCAACCCCGACUAUGAAACGCCUCUACUCUCAAGCUCGUUUUACUUACUCUGGUGUGCAGGGCUCGGUGGCAACACCAUGAUUAUAGCCUCAAACACCGGGGCAACCCGGUGGACCUGCGCAGAGGACAUCGUCAGGUGGGGAGUUUGGCUGGGGCGGCACAUCUGUUAAACGAUAACGCAGGUGUCCUAAGAUAAGCUCAUUGACGACAGAAAUGUCAUGUAGAACAAAAGGGUAAAAGCUUAUUUGAUUUGGAUUUUCAGUACUAAUACAAAAUGUGAAAGCAUGGCCUAUCGAUCCUUUUGUCGAUAAAAGUUUUAUGCAAGAGGUGUCAGAAAAGUUUCCAUUGUGGUGACUUUAAUAGUAGACUCAAAGUGUUCUGCUAGUCCGCCCCUCCCGCUACUUACAAAUGGGGGGGUGUUUCGGGCGACAUUGUCAAAUUGCGGGAACACCCUAAAGCUGUGCUACACCAAACCGUGCGUCGAAAGACAGCCGGCGGCCGGGGUAAUGACCUAGGGUAUGGUAAAAGCGAGCACAGAUGACCUCAACCAAUGGGCAAUCCGCAGCCAAGUCCUAAGGCCCCCCCCCCGCCCCACGUACCAACGUGGUAGGUAGGGGGGGUUACGGAUGCAGUUCAACGACUAAAUGGCAAUGGGCUGGAAAGACCUAAUUCCGGCUUAAGAUAUAGUCUGUCCCACGUGAAAGCGUGCUUGUAGAUGAAUGCCCCCAUGUAGGGCCGGAGCUACAAGACCUUCUCUCAAACCCUUAAGGUGGUACAUCCUCCUUAAGCAAAAAGGGGGAACCACCGACCAAUGGUCGGCGGUUCCCCCUUGAAAGAAGGUGAAUCUCAAGACCACAGGGAUUUAUCACGUUUUUUUCGGCAAACAGCGCGUCGGAACACACAGAUCACACACUUUUUCCUCUUUCCCCCUUUGCUUUGUUCGUUUUUGUAGAUAGGAUGGACAUGACUGAGGAGGCGGCAAUGGGUGCGAUAUCGGCGGGAGCUGCUAGGGCGGCUCGUCGGGAGCGCAAACGGAUGGUCAAGGAACUUCAAGAAGGGCUUUGCAUCUCUUCCCGGUCGAUUUCAAAGCGUUGCUGGAUAGCCGCCAGAAAAGGCGCGCGUCUGGCGCGCCAGAAGCUGACCGGUCGGAAGGGAUCGAAAGGCGAUGUUACAAAGGCAUGCCUCGCGGCGGGAAGGGCCGCGGCCGGGUUGGUAAGGGCUAAAAGAGACGAGUUGAAAGCGACUCAUUGUCCAGCGAAUGCCGACGCGGGUCGGGAGGACGACAAGAAGCCUCAACUAGCGGAUGAAUGUGGCGCAGAACUCAACGGAAUGUUACCUGCCGAGUCGCUCCUUGCUCUCGCUGACGCGAGCAAGGCCGCUUACUUGGCAAACAAGGUGCUUCAAAUGGCGAGAGCUGUGGCGAAGAGACGUAUUACGAACGCUUCUUCAAUGCACGGUGGUGCGAUUCUAUCGCCAGGCCUCGUCCAGGAAGCACUUAAAUCCGUUGAGUUAGCAGCUGUUCGAGAGGUGGCUCCCGAGGGGGAGGACGUCUCUGUCCGCAAUCGAAUACGCGUGAUUCAUUGCACCCAAGAGGAAGCAGCCAUCGCCAUCCAAAAAGGUCGCAUCGGCGGCCUUCAUCGUCGUGGGUGGUGCUUGCUCUCUGAUCGGACGCUCAACAAAGCCAACGGCUACGUUAGUGCGAGCGUCAUAAACGCCGCAUCCAAGCCGCAGAGCCUAGUUGGUCACCACGUUGUUCAGAUUGCAAACGGACAAACAGAUUUGGUCGCAGACAAAACCCUGGAGUCGUCCCACUUGUGUAGCAACUCCAGAUGCAUGUUGAUCGACCACAUUCAUUCCGAGUCAAAAACUGCCAAUAACCUCCGCAAGGGCUGUGUGGGCUGGAUACCAUGCCCUCACUGUCCAGUUCCAUUCUUCCUUUGCCAGCAUGACCCACCUUGUGUGCGGUUCCAUCCGUCUUACGACAAUAUGGACGAGUUGCGUCUGGCGUCGAACGGCGCCAAGGGACACCUCGCUGCAUUCUCAAGACUUCCACCUCCCAGAAAUGGAAAAAUCGACACAAACCCUCUACGGUGGUGUCCAUCAUUGCAAGCCUCUUGAAUAAACUUGUUUUUCACGAAAAAUCUGUGUGUCUAGCUCGCUUUUGUCCGAAAAAACCUGCAGUUGGUCCCAGGCAGGGAAUGUCUUGCCCUGUCUAGUCCGGCCUUUGUACGCAAAAUCGCGUGGAUGUACUCUGGCAAAGGGAGCGCGGCGACUGCCGUUGACUCCUUGUAGGGCAACAUGUCUGGAUGCGGGAAUCUCCUUUGGGCACGGUACCAAGCGAUUUUGGGUAACACCCGAUUCGUGAUAGGCAAUAAAGACUUGCCGGGUAACAAUCCGCUUGCCAUCAUGGGACAAUCCGCAGCUGACCUGGCUAAAGACCUCCUUCCUCCACGGACGGCGGGUACAGCUUGGCGGUUCAACGCUCGGUAAGAUGUGGGUUGCUAGAAAGGCAUUCUCUAUUGAAAAAAAACGCCUUUUUAGCGGCUUAAGGUACGAGCUACUCCCACCUGUAAAGGUGUCUCUGUCUACUCUGGGUACACGCCCCGGGGGAAACUGAGAGGGUCAAACGCUGCUCCUCCCGCUUGGGGAAACAGUUAGUAAUCCCCGGUAUCAAGGAACUGGCUUGUGGCAGCCAAGCGUUCAUAGCGACGUUGCUUUUUGAUCCUUCGAUGUCGGCUCUUCC